GUAAAUGCCUUGAAGGGAAAUAGUAGGUAUUUAUGGUCUACAGAGAGGAAAUCCUAGGCUGAAAGAUUUCUGACCCUCUAGAUGCUGAACCCGUCCCGGAGCAGCUAGACUGAAUAAAGUAAGUCUAGACGGUAAUUCCGUUAUCUAAAAUGAGAGGACUAUUAAUACUAGUAGUCUAUUAGGGUGGUACCGCGGAUAACCUUCGUCCCUUAU
rnacentral:ncRNA from 1 species